AUUUGUUCUUCUCUACCUGCUGUCCUACAGCUGUGCACAGUGAUGCUGCACCUGACCGUGCCUCAGCUUCCCCCACAUCAGGCCAUCGCCUCCCUGGCUUGGCAGUGACUGGCACCAGCUUUCCUGAUGUGAGCACUCCUGGGCAGACCAGUACCCACAUGCUUACCAUCCUGAGCAGGCAGUGGCUUCAAUAGCAGUGGGAUGCCCAGCCAUACCCAAUCACUGCCUGAGCUGCAAGACACCUGGACCUUAUGUGUGACAUCACGUCUCCUUUUCCAUCACUACCCAGUUCUCCAUUCCUCUUUCCCUGUAACAGCAAGGCAGCCCAGAUAGCUGGGAGAGCAUGCACCACCAUAGCAGCCAGCAGCGCCCAGCUUUUCCCAGGCUCCUGGCACUCGGUACUGCCCUUACUGCUACUCCACCAUGGGCUCCCCAUGGUGGCUUAUCAGCCACUCCUGUGCAAAGUCCACCAUCUCACCUGCUGCAGAGCUUUCACCUAAAUCCACCACAUUCCCCUCCCAGAAACAGUUGAGGAGUCAUCCCACACUGCUAACCGCCAAGGAGAUAACUUGCAGCAGAGGGGCAGGGUCAGUGGUGCUAUCUAGGAUGACCACAGCUGCCAGGAAUGAUCCCAGCACCUCUCAGCAGUCCCCAGUGAGGAUUAAUUUAAUCAGGCCACGCAUCCCCUUCUAGAUGAUAAAAGCUAUGGGAUGGACCCUGCACUAAAUAGCAGGGACAAGAUGUUACCAAGAAACCCCCCAACUCUCCCCAUAACUCAGGAUGAGGGGCUUGAAGAGAGGAGAGCAAACACUGGGGUCACGGCAGCCCCCCAGACCAAGAGUAUGAGGUGGAGACACCCUACAGCCCCCACACUCCUCCCAAGGCUCAGGCUGGGGGACAUCAGCAGCGCAGCUCCAUGGGCCCAGAAGCCUCCCAGACCCAGGCAUACACUAUAAGUCAUCUCAGCCCAAACCUCCCUCUGCCAGGGCUGUCUCACACAAGAUUUUUCCCUUCCAUCAUCAUUAAUUUGGGUUUCCGGGAGCUCAGAGGCCAGUGGUCUGAUGUCAGCAGGCUUGUCACGAGCAGGUGAGUCACCUCUGACAAACCUGCCCCAGCCUAAGCACCAUUAAUUAGUGCCUCCAGGGCCUGUCCCAGCACUGCCCCACCUCUGACAGAAGCACUGCCCAUGCUGGAAGCGCACACUGAGCAUCACCUGCCAACUGGUGGCACACAGUGAGGUUGGUGAGGUCCACAGCCCAUCUUUACGAAGCAACCAUACAGCACUGGUGCUUCUGCAGCCUGCAGCUUCGUGGCUCUUUCA
ensembl:lncRNA